ACAUCCGGGGAUUUUAUUAUAGAAUACAUCCAGGGAUUUUAUUAUAGAAUACAUCCGGGGAUUUUAUUAUAGAAUAUAUCCGGGGAUUUUAUUAUAGAAUACAUCCGGGGAUUUUAUUAUAGAAUACAUCCGGGGAUUUUAUUAUAGAAUACAUCCAGGGAUUUUAUUAUAGAAUACAUCCGGGGAUUUUAUUAUAGAAUAUAUCCGGGGAUUUUAUUAUAGAAUACAUCCGGGGAUUUUAUUAUAGAAUACAUCCGGGGAUUUUAUUAUAGAAUACGUCCGGGGAUUUUAUUAUAGAAUACGUCCGGGGAUUUUAUUAUAGAAUACAUCCGGGGAUUUUAUUAUAGAAUAUAUCCGGGGAUUUUAUUAUAGAAUAUAUCCAGGGAUUUAAAAAAAUAUAUACCGUACCUCUUAUUAUUAUAUAUAAUUAUUUUUAUUUAUUUGUUUUCCCCCUGAAUGUUCAGGGUUGAGGGUGGGGCAGGGGGGUGUUUAUAAACGUUUAUAAAUGUUGUGUAUAUAUGACUGGAUUCUCUCGAUGCCAAAAAACACGUGUAGCUGUUCUAGAUCAGGUGUUCACGUGGGCGGCGGGGCCGCGUCCGCAUGCAGGAAAUAGAGAAGAAAAAAAGGAAAGUAUUAAUGAGCCCCGGGUAAUUUUAACGUCCUUCAUAAACAGCAGAGCACCUGUUUAUAAUAACUGCAGUGUGAUGUGUGUAGGUGUGUGUAGAGGUGUGUGUGUGUGUGUGUGUGUAUAGAGGUGUGUGUGUGUGUGUGUGUGUGUGUGUGUAUAGAGGUGUGUGUAGAGGUGUGUGUGUGUGUGUAGAGGUGUGUGUGUGUGUGUGUGUGUGUAGAGGUGUGUGUGUGUGUGUGUGUGUGUGUGUGUGUGUGUGUAGAGGUGUGUGUGUGUGUGUGUGUGUGUGUAUAGAGGUGUGUGUAGAGGUGUGUGUGUGUGUGUAGAGGUGUGUGUGUGUGUGUGUGUGUGUAGAGGUGUGUGUAGAGGUGUGUGUGUGUAGAGGUAGAGGUGUGUGUAGAGGUGUGUGUGUGUGGAGGUAGAGGUGUGUGUAGAGGUGUGUGUGUGUGUGUAGAGGUGUGUGUGUGUGUGUGUGUGUGUAGAGGUGUGUGUGUGUAGAGGUAGAGGUGUGUGUAGAGGUGUGUGUGUGUGUGUAGAGGUGUGUGUGUGUGUGUGUGUGUGUGUGUAGAGGUGUGUGUGUGUGUGUGUAGAGGUGUGUGUGUAGAGGUGUGUGAGAUUGUGUAGAGGUGUGUGUGUGUGUGUGUGUGUGAUUGUGUAGAGGUGUGUGUGUGUGUAUAGAGGUGUGUGUGUGUAUAGAGGUGUGUGUGAUUGUGUAGAGGUGUGUGUGUGUGUGUGUGUAUAGAGGUGUGUGUGUGUAUAGAGGUGUGUGUGAUUGUGUAGAGGUGUGUGUGUGUGUAUAGAGGUGUGUGUGUGUAUAGAGGUGUGUGUGAUUGUGUAGAGGUGUGUGUGUGUGUAUAGAGGUGUGUGUGUGUAUAGAGGUGUGUGUGAUUGUGUAGAGGUGUGUGUGUGUGUAUAGAGGUGUGUGUGUGUAUAGAGGUGUGUGUGAUUGUGUAGAGGUGUGUGUGUGUGUAUAGAGGUGUGUGUGUGUAUAGAGGUGUGUUUGAUUGUGUAGAGGUGUGUGUGUGUAGAGGUAGAGGUGUGUGUAGAGGUGUGUGUGUGUGUGUGUGUGUAGCGGUAGAGGUGUGUGUAGAGGUGUGUGUGUGUAAAGGUGUGUGUGUAGAGGUAGAGGUGUGUGUGUAGAGGUGUGUGUGUGUGUGUGUAGAGGUGUGUGUGUAGAGGUGUGUGUGUGUGUGUGUAGAGGUGUGUGUGUGUAGAGGUAGAGGUGUGUGUAGAGGUGUGUGUGUGUAAAGGUGUGUGUGUAGAGGUGUGUGUGUGUAAAGGUGUGUGUGUAGAGGUAGAGGUGUGUGUGUAGGUGUGUGUGUAGAGGAGCGUGUGUGUAGAGGUGCGUGUGUGUGUGUGUGUGUAUAGAGGUGUGUGUGAUUGUGUAGAGGUGUGUGUGUGUGUGUGUAGAGG